AUGGAGUCUCGCUCUGUCACUCAGGCUGGAGUGCAGUCACACGAUCUCGGCUCACUGUUUUUUUAACUUAUUGGCUAGACAGCCUUAAGAGCGGCACUUGGGUCUCGCUCUGUCACCCAGGCUGAAGUUCAGUGGUGUGAUCAUCAGCCUCAAUCUCCUGGGCUCAAGCAAUGCUCUCACCUCAGCCCCCCAAGUAGCUGGGAUUAAAGAUGCACACCACCAUACCCGGGUGAUCCUGGUCCACCCGCCUCGGCCCCCCAAAGUGCUAGGAUUACAG